CUGAAAGCUCUAGAACGUGCAUUUUAUCAUUCUAGACUUUCCCCUAGGAUGAAACCGCAAGCUACUUGAAAGGGUUUUUGUUUUUUGUUUUGGCACAAGGUUAAUUCUCUUUACCUCCCUUGUUGGCCAUGAGAAUAGUUAGCAGGCCCAACAAGGAUUCCUGUAAAAUUGAGUGAUGGCAGGCAGGUGUGUCUGUGUAGUAUCUAACCAAAUACCCAAGCAUCUAGAAAUCCGUUUUCCUAGACGCUGUACAGAUUGUAGUGUAACUGAUUAAAGAUUGUUAUGGCUAAGAAGCCAUAGAAUGACUGUGUCUCCCUAUCCAACUGUCCAGUGAUCCAUAAACAAUUGUGUUCACUUUUAUAGUCAAGAGGAACAGUUCGUGGUUGUGGAUGUGCCACACCAGAUUCCAAACAUUUUUUUCAUAUGCAAUAUGAUUUUUUAAGUUGCAAAUUCCCUGAAGUUGGUAUUUAUUUCUCUUUUUUCCCCCAGCAGAGCAAGACAAACCCAGAGAGAUGAAGUGACUGACCCAAGGUUACACAGGAUGGAAUCUGUAUCUUCUGAUUUCCUUACUGGCCCACAGUGCAUGUUCUGAGGAGCAGCCCUGGAAGCUACUGCGAUAAUGGAACAGUGGAGUAGAUAGUCCAUUAUAACUCAUCUGUGAUUCUUCUCAAAUUUAAGUGACUACAGCUCUGAAUGGCCUGGAACUUGAUAUGUAGGCCAGGUUGGCCUAUGAGCUCACAGACCUUUGUCCUGAGUCCUGGAAUUGAAGAUGUGUACCACCAUGCUGGACUUGCUUUAUGGAUUCGAGACAUGGUCUCAGUGUGAAUUCCAUGUUGGCAUCACCGUGUAGUACAUGCUGGCCUGGAACGUGCCAUGUAGCUCAUAGUGAUCUUGAAUGCUUAGUCCUUCUACUGUAGCCUUUGAGUGCUGGGAUGUAGGUGUCUUUGUCUUCAUGUUAAUAUGUGUACCACAUGUGUCUGGUGUCCAAGGAGGUCAGAAGAGUGAUUUUCCUCUAGAACUGAAGUUAGAGAUGGUGGUGAAUUACCAUAUGGGUUUGAACCAAAGUCCUGUGUAAGAGCAAAUGCUGUUACACCGAGGAACUGUCAAGGUUUGUUUUUAAGGAAGAAUGUGUAAGUUUAGGUCUUCAUGUAGUUGGCUAGGACAUUUGAGUGAGAAAGUUGGGAAAGGAAUUAAAGAGAAAUUUCUACACUUUAUUCAGAACAAUAGAAAUAUGUUUCAAUAUGUUUCUCGGGCUGGAGAGAUGGCUCAGUAGUUAAGAGCACCGACUGCUCUUCCAGAGGUCCUGAGUU
rnacentral:sRNA from 1 species